rnacentral:rRNA from 1 species
AUGAACGCUGGCGGCAUGCCUAAUACAUGCAAGUCGAACGAAGACUCUAGGAAGCUUGCUUCCAAAGAGACUUAGUGGCGAACGGGUGAGUAACACGUAGGUAACCUGCCCAUGUGUCCGGGAUAACUGCUGGAAACGGUAGCUAAAACCGGAUAGGUAUACAGAGCGCAUGCUCAGUAUAUUAAAGCGCCCAUCAAGGCGUGAACAUGGAUGGACCUGCGGCGCAUUAGCUAGUUGGUGAGGUAACGGCCCACCAAGGCGAUGAUGCGUAGCCGGCCUGAGAGGGUAAACGGCCACAUUGGGACUGAGACACGGCCCAAACUCCUACGGGAGGCAGCAGUAGGGAAUUUUCGUCAAUGGGGGAAACCCUGAACGAGCAAUGCCGCGUGAGUGAAGAAGGUCUUCGGAUCGUAAAGCUCUGUUGUAAGUGAAGAACGGCUCAUAGAGGAAAUGCUAUGGGAGUGACGGUAGCUUACCAGAAAGCCACGGCUAACUACGUGCCAGCAGCCGCGGUAAUACGUAGGUGGCAAGCGUUAUCCGGAAUCAUUGGGCGUAAAGGGUGCGUAGGUGGCGUACUAAGUCUGUAGUAAAAGGCAAUGGCUCAACCAUUGUAAGCUAUGGAAACUGGUAUGCUGGAGUGCAGAAGAGGGCGAUGGAAUUCCAUGUGUAGCGGUAAAAUGCGUAGAUAUAUGGAGGAACACCAGUGGCGAAGGCGGUCGCCUGGUCUGUAACUGACACUGAGGCACGAAAGCGUGGGGAGCAAAUAGGAUUAGAUACCCUAGUAGUCCACGCCGUAAACGAUGAGAACUAAGUGUUGGAGGAAUUCAGUGCUGCAGUUAACGCAAUAAGUUCUCCGCCUGGGGAGUAUGCACGCAAGUGUGAAACUCAAAGGAAUUGACGGGGGCCCGCACAAGCGGUGGAGUAUGUGGUUUAAUUCGAAGCAACGCGAAGAACCUUACCAGGUCUUGACAUCCCGAUGACCGGCCCGUAACGGGGCCUUCUCUUCGGAGCAUUGGAGACAGGUGGUGCAUGGUUGUCGUCAGCUCGUGUCGUGAGAUGUUGGGUUAAGUCCCGCAACGAGCGCAACCCUUGUCGCAUGUUACCAGCAUCAAGUUGGGGACUCAUGCGAGACUGCCGGUGACAAACCGGAGGAAGGUGGGGAUGACGUCAAAUCAUCAUGCCCCUUAUGGCCUGGGCUACACACGUACUACAAUGGCGACCACAAAGAGCAGCGACUUGGUGACAAGAAGCGAAUCUCAUAAAGGUCGUCUCAGUUCGGAUUGAAGUCUGCAACUCGACUUCAUGAAGUCGGAAUCGCUAGUAAUCGCAGAUCAGCAUGCUGCGGUGAAUACGUUCUCGGGCCUUGUACACACCGCCCGUCAAACCAUGGGAGUCAGUAAUACCCGAAGCCGGUGGCAUAACCGUAAGGAGUGAGCCGUCGAAGGUAGGACCGAUGACUGGGGUU